rnacentral:rRNA from 1 species
AACGUAGGACACAAGCGUUAUCCGGAGUUACUGGGCGUAAAGGGCGUGUAGGCGGACGUGUAAGUCUAUUCUGAAAGCUCCUGGCUAAACUGGGAGAGGCAAAUGGAGACUGCAUAUCUAGAGUGAGGAAGAGGAAAGUGGAAUUCCGCGUGUAGUGGUGAAAUGCGUAGAGAUGCGGAGGAACACCAGUGGCGAAAGCGACUUUCUGGUCCUUAACUGACGCUGAGGCGCGAAAGCAUGGGGAGCGAACGGG